rnacentral:rRNA from 1 species
UGAGGAAUAUUGGGCAAUGGGCGAAAGCCUGACCCAGCCACGCCGCGUGUGUGAUGAAGGCCUUCGGGUCGUAAAGCACUGUGGAGAGGGACGAAAAAGUGCAUCAGGAAAUGGGUGCGCCUUGACGGUACCUCUUUAGCAAGCACCGGCUAACUCUGUGCCAGCAGCCGCGGUAAUACAGAGGGUGCAAACGUUGCUCGGAUUUACUGGGCGUAAAGCGCGUGUAGGCGGACAAGAAAGUCGGGCGUGAAAUCCCAGGGCUCAACCUUGGAACUGCGUUCGAAACUGCUUGUCUUGAGUAAUGGAGAGGGUGGCGGAAUUAUCGGUGUAGGGGUGAAAUCCGUAGAUAUCGAUAGGAACACCAGUGGCGAAGGCGGCCACCUGGACAUUGACUGACGCUGAGACGCGAAAGUGUGGGGAGCAAACAGGAUUAGAUACCCCCGUAGUCC